rnacentral:rRNA from 1 species
GGUGGAGUAUGUGGUUUAAUUCGAUGCAACGCGAAGAACCUUACCAGGGUUUGACAUCCUGCGAAUCUCUUGGAAACUUGAGAGUGCCUUCGGGAGCGCAGUGACAGGUGGUGCAUGGCUGUCGUCAGCUCGUGUCGUGAGAUGUUGGGUUAAGUCCCGCAACGAGCGCAACCCACGUCUUUAGUUGCCAGCAUUUAGUUGGGCACUCUAGAGAGACCGCCGGUGAUAAACCGGAGGAAGGUGUGGAUGACGUCAAGUCAUCAUGCCCCUUACAUCUGAGCUACACACGUACUACAAUGCUACGGACAAAGGGCAGCAAGUUCGCGAGGACAAGCAAAUCCCAUAAACCGUGGCUCAGUUCAGAUCGUAGGCUGCAACUCGCCUACGUGAAGCAGGAAUCGCUAGUAAUCGCAGGUCAGCAUACUGUGGUGAAUACGUUCCCGGGCCUUGUACACACCGCCCGUCACACCAUGGAAGUUGGCCACGCCCGAAGCCGUUACUCCAACCCUUGUGGAGGAGGACGUCGAAGGUGGGGCUGAUGACUGGGGUG